rnacentral:tRNA from 1 species
GCAGUGGUGGUUCAGUGGUAGAAUUCUCACCUUCCAUGUGAGAGACCCAGGUUCUAUCCCUAUGCACUUCA